GUUGAAACGCCAGGUCUCGUACGAUCACUGAAGUUAAACAACAUUGAACGCAGUCGGUACCUAGAAGAGUGACCUCUGGAGAAUACCAGGUGCUGCAAGC